rnacentral:rRNA from 1 species
UACGUAGGGGGCAAGCGUUGUCCGGAAUCAUUGGGCGUAAAGAGCGUGUAGGCGGCUCGGUAAGUCCGCUCUGAAAGCCCGGGGCUCAACCCCGGGAGGCGGGCGGAUACUGUCGGGCUAGAGUCCGGAAGAGGCGAGUGGAAUUCCUGGUGUAGCGGUGGAAUGCGUAGAGAUCCGGAAGAACACCGGUGGCGAAGGCGGUUGGCUGGGCCACAACUGACACUGAUGCGCGAAAGCCAGGGAGCGAACGGG